UGACCAGGAGAAAAUAAAUUGGAGGUCGAA
rnacentral:piRNA from 1 species